rnacentral:rRNA from 1 species
UACGGAGGGGGCGAGCGUUAUUCGGAAUUAUUGGGCGUAAAGGGCGCGUAGGCGGCUUGACAAGUCAAAGGUGAAAUCCCUCGGCUCAACUGAGGAACUGCCUUUGAAACUGUCUGGCUUGAGGCCGGGAGGGGGUAGCGGAAUUCCCAGUGUAGCGGUGAAAUGCGUAGAUACUGGGAGGAACACCAGUGGCGAAGGCGGCUGCCUGGACCGGGUCUGACGCUGAGGCGCGAAAGCGUGGGGAGCAAACAGG